CCGGCACCGAGGGUGCGCUCCGCCCCUCCUCGGGCCGGCCCUCGCCUGCCGCGCUGCAGGUUAAACUGACCUGAGCCGAGGACAUUUAAUCCGUAUCGGAAACAUCCUGCUGCGCACAAGCUCAGCAGGUGAUAUUUGCUUUGGCCAUGCCCUGGAUCCGCAGAGGGAAGCAGCAGCUGCGUUUGUGCCUCCAGCCGUUCUUUCUGAAGGCGCUUCAGGUCGCGUGCAGGAGCUGAAGUUCAGUAUCCAACUGAAUUUCUGUAGUAGAUCUCCAUCACUAAAAUAAAUGAGGAUCAAAUGCCAGGCACCAUGUCUAGCUAGAGAUGUUGAGAUAUCCAGGGAGUGGAGCACGAGCACGAGUGCUGUGAGCAGGAGCUGAGGGAACUGGGGUUAUUUAACCCAGAGAAAAGGAGGCUCAAGGGGACCUCAUCACUCUACCUGAAGGGAGGUUGUAGCCAAGGGUGGUGGGGUUGGUCUCUUCUACCAAGCAACAAAAAAAUGGCCUCAAGUUGUGCCAGAGAAGGUUUAGAUUGGAUAUUAAGAAAACCUUUUUCAUGGAAAGGGUUGUCAAGCACUAAAACAGGGAAGUGAGUGAGUCACCAACCCUGGACUUAGUCAAAACAUGUAGAUGUGGCACUCAGGGACAUGGCUUAGUGGUGCACUUGGCAGUGCUGGGUUAAUGGCUGGACUCCAGAGUCUUUUCCAGCCUAAACAAUUCUGAUUCUAUGUUGACAGGUAAAGCAAAGAAGAAAAUAAAGUCACAUUCUCACUUUAUCAGAAUGAACCAGGUUUAGCCUUUUGUAUUUAGGUCAAUGAUUCUACCUAAACUGUGAUCAAUUUACAGGGGUAGGAGUUGAUUCAGCCAAGGACCUCCUGUGAUAACUGGCCUCUAGAGAACAACUUCUUCUGAAAAACCAUUGUGAAAGACUAUAUAUUGCCCUAAGAGAAGGAAAAAAGUUUGAAAAUAAUGGCAACCUGCCACCAAAACUCUCCCUGCAAGAACUGCCAGUUGGCCAAUUGCCAUGCACAGUACUGAGCAGUCACUCAAAAAUGGCUCUUUAUUCCAUACCAAUAGUUCUAAAUUCUGCAUGUACCAGAAAGCACAAAACACUGAUGUUAGCUGGUGCACUUAAAGAAAGGAGUUGAAACGUACAAAGAGAUUAAAAGGCAAGGACAAUCAGGGAAGAAAAGCCAUUACAUUAAAAGCACUCCUUCGGGCAAGUGACUGUUCCCACAUCAGUUUACUGCAGCAUCAGCUACCUGAAGAUCUCGGUGGCAAGACCCGUAACUUUCAGCGACACACAUUGUAAAUAACUUCAGAGACCAAAAUAUUCACCAAUCCAAGUUCAUCCCAGUAAGUUGCACAGACAUAACUUUUUUUAAAAAUGCCAUAAAAUAAGUCAGGCAAUUCCCAGCCACUUUUGGCAUGGCAGGCUUUGAUAAACUGAAAGACUACAGCUCAUCUUCAAACAGAAUUCAGAAGACUAAAUAGCUCUACAUAUAACCUUAGGUACAUAAAAAUUUUUAACGAGAAAAGAAUUGGAAAUCUCUUUUGUGUUUUGAGUUACUCUCAUCAUAAGAGAUGCUGGGAAAUUUCAUACAGUGGCAUUUUUUGGAGGACCACCUGAAUUCAACUUUAAAAUUUUGUAGGGUGAGACACCAAAAUACCUUGCUAAAUGAGUAGUCUUUUAAAUUACGUUUUUAUUUUGCAAGAAAAUAAAUUAUACAACUUAAAAAAUAAAAUUCAAAAAUUAAGCAGUACAUCAAAAUAGUUCAGCUGGACUGCCAUACAGAAACUACCACCAUUCAAAAUUGUACAGCAUUAUUAUCUUGGUAGUGGCACACAUUCAAAAUUGUAAAUACCAUACGGAGAUAGUUAUUACAACUCAGGAAUUCGUGUUCGCUCAACGCUCCAGACUACAUAUAGUGUGUAUGACAGGAAAGCUUUCAUGUAUUGUUUAUUUCACAAAUAUGACCUUAAAGAAUUACAAAGAUAGCAUCCCAGUCAUUUAGAUGAAAAUAGAAAACAGUUUGAGAUAGCAAAUCUUUCUGUAAAACUAUCAAAUCUUUUUGCCAAUUGUAUUUUUAAAAUUUGCACUUUACAGGACAAUGGCAUCCCAAGGCAGAUAAAUGCAAGAUGUGAACAUUCAGAACAUUUAUAUUAAUUUUACAAAGAUGAAAAUGAGAAUGUCACAUUGUCAUUUGGAAAUGUAACUGCAUUACAGUCGUAACAAAUAAAAGAUAAAUGAGUAAAAGUAGAAGCUAGGGACACCAACUGUGGAAAGAGGAAAAUGGAAGACUUCAGAAUUGAAACAGAUUCUUACCAAGUUGUUGGGACAGAGAAAGAUUUAACAGUAUUUCUUAAUUAAACCCAUUAAGAGUGAUUUCCCCCCCGCCCCUUCUACACCAGAUUUCACUCCUUAGCUAUUCACCGUGGCAGUGUGUGUGGCAACGUGUUUUUCAGAUGCAGCACCUCCUUAAGCUAGGUCUUUGGACAAAUAUUCAUAGCUAAAAAUUGCAGCCUUAAAAGUGCGUUGUUGCCAUAUUGCAAGUGAAGAAUAGUUUUCAUUUAGAUUUGAACUCUAGCCUCCCCAGAACAGCUUACCCCAGGUAUCUCCCUGUGCCCCAGGUGAUACUAGUUUUAAGUGCAUAUUGGUGAAGUGACCUGAUGAAGGACGCUAAACGUGAUUCUGCAUCUUUAACAAAUUUGCUGGUGUCUGUCUCAGAUUUCAUAAAAAACCCGACAUCCAUUUUUAGGAUAUACUUAAAGAAAAAAUGACCAUGUCAUAGGCACAUUACCAAUUCUAUUUCCAUCCCAGGUUUUGAGAAAUGUCUCGGUAAUUAUUAGGUUGUAUUGUAUUUAUUAGUUGAGGGAAUGUAUAGCUCCUUAGCUUUUAGCAACCUUUUCCUUUCUGCAUACAUUCCAGCUUCCUAAACAGUUGUGUUUGAGAUGCUGUCUCUUAAACUUCUCUCUUAAAUCUAAACCAAUGGCUUCAAAAUUAGCAUUAUCCCCUUGGCAGCUCUUUCCAUGUGACCAUUUCACACCUGUUCUCUGGUUAAGGGUUGGAAUUUUUCACGUUGAAGAGUGUGCUCAGACUGUCAUGUUCUCCCCAGUUAUCCCAAGUAAGCAUUUAUUACUUUUAAGUUACAAAGACUGAAAGUCUUGCAGCACAAAGUUUUUUUAUUAGAAUUUUGUUUUCUGAUGUUCAGAUAGUUUCAUUGGUUAACUGCACAGAGCACCACUUGCUUUUGAUUCUGAAUUGCAAACACCACAGGGCCAACAUAAAAGAUGCAAUAUUUUUAAACAGCAUCUAUUUUUGAGUAUCAAUAAAACACAAGCUGUAGGAUUUCAAUCAAUUGUAAUUGGCCAGGCCUUGAUUUCUCCAUCUCUUGGUCAUGAAACCUUCACUACCAAAAAUUUCUUACUCUAACAGAUGUCCAAGUACACACUGUUCUCAGGCAGUCACACUGGCAUUUACAUUAGUAACAGAGCACACAGCCUGCUUAAGGGUGCAAACAGCCAUUCUUGGAGAGUUUGCUUUUCAACCACUCCUACUGCAUACCUUACUGUAACCAUGUGAAACUAAAACUCCUCCUCUUACUUACUGGAAGGCUUUCUUUUUUGCCUAAAGUUAAUUGUAUCCUCUUCCCCAUUUCAUCAUCAGAGAUGAGGCCUUUAGAUGUUGUAGUUCAACUGGUUAAUUAAAAAUAAUUUCACACACUUGUAAUUUAUAAAAGAAAUAUUCAUACAGAACUGAAUAAAGCGCAACUUACCUUUGUCCUAAGACAGGCACUCUGCUCCUAUGACUCAUGGUAUCGCUCCAUUACAUGCUGGGACAUUUCAGAACAGCAGAGAGUUGGGCAGUGCCAAAUGACUACUUCAGAUGAUGGAGAAUGGAAGAGGUAACGUUAAGAAGUUGAGAUUCCUGAUGUGUGUUUGGCACUCUCUCUAUAUAUACUGAACAAGGUAUUUUUCCUUAGCGUUUUAUCGUUUUCAUUAGAAGUAUAUUUCCCACCCUACCAGUUACAAAAUAGAAAGCAGAGGGUUUGUAUUUCAUAUAAAGAUGUUGACUAGCCCAAUUGGAUUAACCUUGCAUGUAUAUAGAAGUUACCACUGAGGAAACAGUACAGGGAUCUUCAAGUGUUACUCUCUUUCUGCAGGAAUUGUGCAUAAAUUACUCUUUAAUGCAUCCUGAUAUAUGUAGUCAUAAUGAAAUAUUUGAAAUAUAAAUAUUAAAUGUAGAUGGAAAUACACUUAAUAUUUCUGUUCCUAUAGCAGACCCAUCCAUGAAAACUGCUUUUAGAGUGAAGUAUCAUUCAAGAAACUUUUACCUUGUCAAAAAGGAUUGUAGCAAAUCACCCGUCCAAAUAUGGUAACAACAUAUCCACUUGUUUACAGGAAACAAUUUAAAAACAAUGAUCUCUUGCUCAGGGAAAAAUAUCACCGAUGACUUGGAAUUACUUUUGUGUCGCUCAAUGUGUCGAUUAUUAAAAUCCAGUUACUAGAUUGAAGCACUGCGCUAGCCAACAGGUUUUAACUGUAACAAAUACGUAUCAGUUGUGACACAUGUGUUUGUGUCUCUCACAUGUUAUUACAUGAAAAGGAUCAGAGAUGGACAGCACGUUACUCUGUUGAUCCAAAACACAAAUGUGAAAGUGCUACUUCUAGUCCUAAUUGCAUUAAAAAAAAAGAACAACCCCAAAACCAAAACCAAACAAAACAAAAAACAAACCCAAAACAAAACUAAGAGCAGUUCCUCAGUGCAUGGAUAUUUGAAUAUUUUUUCCUUGUGCAAGUACUGGUCAUCUAAAAACCCAAACC